GUUAUCGUUUAUUUGAUAGUACCUUACUACAUGGAUAACCGUGGUAAUUCUAGAGCUAAUACAUGCUAAAAACCUCGACUUCGGAAGGGGUGUAUUUAUUAGAUAAAAAACCAAUGCCCUUCGGGGCUCCCUGGUGAUUCAUAAUAACUUAACGAAUCGCAUGGCCUUGUGCCGGCGAUGGUUCAUUCAAAUUUCUGCCCUAUCAACUUUCGAUGGUAGGAUAGUGGCCUACCAUGGUUUCAACGGGUAACGGGGAAUUAGGGUUCUAUUCCGGAGAAGGAGCCUGAGAAACGGCUACUACAUCCAAGGAAGGCAGCAGGCGCGCAAAUUACCCAAUCCCGACACGGGGAGGUAGUGACAAUAAAUACUGAUACAGGGCUCUUUUGAGUCUUGUAAUUGGAAUGAGUACAAUUUAAAUACCUUAACGAGGAACAAUUGGAGGGCAAGUCUGGUGCCAGCAGCCGCGGUAAUUCCAGCUCCAAUAGCGUAUAUUAAAGUUGUUGCAGUUAAAAAGCUCGUAGUUGAAACUUGG
rnacentral:rRNA from 1 species